rnacentral:lncRNA from 1 species
GCGUGGGUGGCCUGGCUCCUGGAGUAGGUGGCCUGGUUCCUGGCGUAGGUGGCCUGGUUCCUGGUGUUGGAGGUGUCCCAGGUGUUGGAGGUCCUGCAGCAGCAGCCAAAGCAGCAGCCAAGGCAGCCAAAUUUGGUGCCGGGGUUGGAGGGGUGCCAGGGGUGGUGCCUGGCGUGGGCGGAGUGCCCGGAGUGGCACCCGGUGUUGGUGGCGUGCCCGGCUUGGUGCCAGGGGUGGGAGUACCUGGAACUGGCAUCCUUCCCGGGGCAGGCAUCCCCCAAGUAGGGGUGCAGCCUGGUGCUAAACCUCCCAAAUUCGGUGUUCCUGGGGUUGGAGUCCCAGGGGUUGGUGGCCUCCCAGGUGGCCUUGGCGUCGGUGGGCUCGGAGUUGGUGGUCUCGGAGCUGCUGGGAAACCUCCCAAGCCAGGUUUUGGUGCUGGGGGGCUGCAGCCAGGCGUUGGAGGUCCCGGCUUCGGCGUAUCACCGCUAUUUCCAGGUGGGGUCGGCGGCCUGGGAUUCGGCGGGAAACCCCCCAAGCCCUACGGAGGAGCUCUGGGUGCCCUGGGCUUUAGAGGCGCGGGCUGCGCGGCAGGGAAGUACUGCGGGAGGAAGCGGAAGUAACGCUCCGUCACCGAUCACCUCAUGAACUUUGGUGCUACUGCAUGGUCCAGAAUGUAAAUCCGAAGCAAAGCUGAGACACCCUCUCCUCCAGCCCCGGAGCCCCCCGUCCAUCCCGGGGCCGUUCCCCGGCAGCGCCCGGCCCCCCCCCGGCCCUCGGUCCCGGCAGGGAGCGCGGAAUAAACUGCGGGGAGCAGCCGUCCCCCUUGGUGCU